CUGAAGCCACAGCCUACAGGUAGGGCCUUAAGGAGGUAAUUAAGAUGAAAUGAAGAUGUAAAAAUGGGUCCCUAAUCUAAUAGGACUGGCCCCUAUAAGAAGAGAAAGAGACUCCAGAGAUCUCUCUCUCUACCCUGAGCACAGAGGAAAAGCCAUAUGAGGACACAACAAGAAGGUAGCUGUCCGCAAGCUAAUAAGAGAGACAUCACCAGGAACCAAGUUUACUGGCACCUUGAUCUUGGACUUUCAGCUUCCAGAACUGUGAGAAAAUAAAUUUCUAUUGGUUAAGCGGCCAGCGUGUGGUAUUUUGUUACAGCAGCCCAAACAGACUAACAUACCUUCUUUAGAGUUUUACCAAUUACUCUCCUACCAGCAGCAGUGUACAGGCAUAUCUCUUUACCCACUUCCUUUGCUGAAUUAUUAUCUAAGUUUUUUUUUGUUUUUGCCAGUCUGAUAGGUGAAAAAACUAUGAUAG
rnacentral:lncRNA from 10 species